rnacentral:rRNA from 1 species
CGUAACAAGGUCUCCGUAGGUGAACCUGCGGAGGGAUCAUUACACAAUAUGAAGGCGGGCUGGACACCCUCCAGCCGGGCACUGCUUCACGGCGUGCGCGGCUGGAGCCGGCCCUGCUGAAUUAUUCACCCGUGUCUUUUGCGUACUUCUUGUUUCCUGGGUGGGCUCGCCCGCCAUCAGGACCAACCAUAAACCUUUUUGUAAUAGCAAUCAGCGUCAGUAACAACGUAAUUAAUUACAACUUUCAACAACGGAUCUCUUGGUUCUGGCAUCGAUGAAGAACGCAGCGAAAUGCGAUACGUAGUGUGAAUUGCAGAAUUCAGUGAAUCAUCGAAUCUUUGAACGCACAUUGCGCCCUUUGGUAUUCCAAAGGGCAUGCCUGUUCGAGCGUCAUUUGUACCCUCAAGCUUUGCUUGGUGUUGGGCGUCUUUUGUCUCCAGCUCGCUGGAGACUCGCCUUAAAGUCAUUGGCAGCCGGCCUACUGGUUUCGGAGCGCAGCACAAGUCGCGCUCUUGCCCAGCCAAGGUCAGCGUCCAGCAAGCCUUUUUUCAACCUUUGACCUCGGAUCAGGUAGGGAUACCCGCUGAACUUAAGCAUAUCA